GAUGAACGCUGGCGGCGUGCCUAAUACAUGCAAGUCGAGCGAACAGACGAGGAGCUUGCUCCUCUGACGUUAGUGGCGGACGGGUGAGUAACACGUGGAUAACCUACCUAUAAGACUGGGAUAACUUCGGGAAACCGGAGCUAAUACCGGAUAACAUGUUGAACCGCAUGGUUCAACAGUGAAAGACGGUCUUGCUGUCACUUAUAGAUGGAUCCGCGCCGCGUUAGCUAGUUGGUAAGGUAACGGCUUACCAAGGCAACGAUGCGUAGCCGACCUGAGAGGGUGAUCGGCCACGCUGGAACUGAGACACGGUCCAGACUCCUACGGGAGGCAGCAGUAGGGAAUCUUCCGCAAUGGGCGAAAGCCUGACGGAGCAACGCCGCGUGAGUGAAGAAGGUCUUCGGAUCGUAAAACUCUGUUAUUAGGGAAGAACAAAUGUGUAAGUAACUAUGCACGUCUUGACGGUACCUAAUCAGAAAGCCACGGCUAACUACGUGCCAGCAGCCGCCGUAA
rnacentral:rRNA from 1 species